CAGUAGUCAGGUUAAAGCAGGGUAAUUCCAGCAUUAUUUCCUACCGAUGAAUAAUUAACACAAUGUUUUAUUUGCCUGCCAAUGCUGGGCGUCGGAAAUGCUUGUUAAUUGUGUUUCCUCUGACUCGACUCUCAACAACUCUUUCGGUUUUAAUUAAUAGGAAAUUAAUUUUGCAGUGCUCUGUUUUGACAUGGUUAAUUUACAUGGGCUCAGGACCAAAACAUCACAGAAGCACCUUCGUAAGUGCACAGCAACACCUACAACUUCAUAGUGAUACCCUUUCUUCAUUGACAGAGCUGUCAUUGUGAGUUCAGAGCGAGAUGUUCCGUAUCUGGCCUUUUUUCUUCUGUACA